rnacentral:rRNA from 1 species
AGGGUGUAAACGCUGCAGACUUGGUGUUGGAGGCCCUUUGGGGGCAUUCAGUGCCGGAGAGAAGUUGUUAAGUCUGCUACUUGGGGAGUACGUCCGCAAGGAUGAAACUUAAAGGAAUUGGCGGGGGAGCACCGCAACGGGAGGAGCGUGCGGUUUAAUUGGAUUCAACACCGUAAACUCACCAAGGGCGACUGUUACAUGAAAGCCAGGCUAAUGACCUUGCUUGAUUUUCAGAGAGGAGGUGCAUGGCGUCAGUGACU